UGUAAAAUGGGAUUUUAUGUUCACUGAACAGAUGGCCUAAGAUGUCUUGUUUACCUAUUGUUUAUCAAAAACAAAUGUUUUGUAUUUAUAAAUAUUAGAAUAUGGAAUGCAUUUUUUCAUGACAAUUUUUUUUGAGAGAGUGCAAUAUUUUUCUUUUUUAAAUUCAUAUGGCCUGGAAAAUCUCAAAGGAAUGGAAGCAGAACUCCUCACAGUGUCUGGCUGGAGUGGCUCCAAAUUUCCAAGGAAGAGAAAAGCAGCUUUACACCCAUGAUGGAGAAUGAAGAGCUUUAUUGAGGAAUAAUGGACAAACAUAAAGCCCCAUAUAUUUCAAGUGCCAUAUUUGAAGAAGGUCAACAAGAGCUGGAAGAGUCUGGGAAGGAAAGCCUCAUGAGUCAGCGGAGGACUUCAGUGGACUCUGUGGGAUAUGGAUGCACAGAGGAGAUAAAAUAUUCUAGACAGAGAGAACAGCAUGCAUGGAGGCCUGGGAAUCUUUCUGGCAAUAGAAGAGGACAUAAAGUUGAUGCUAGAGGAAGAUCCUGUUCUUUCUGGAGGUGACUCCCCGAACUGCUGCAGCCAUCUUGCUACUGAAAGGAAAAGGGGUAAAGAGGCAACGUACAUUGUUUAGGAUGAAAUGACCAGCCCUGGAGCCCACACUACUUCUAGGUUUUUUGUUAGGUGAGAUAAUACAUGUCCUUAUUGUUUCUACAAUUUGAAUGGGCCUUCUUGCAGCAAAAAAAAAUGUGCAAACUAAGAAUAAAAAUUCGAGUAUUCAUGGAGCAAAUACUCCUCUUGUUGAAGGCAGACUUAUUUUUUUCUUGAACCCGAACAGCUUGGACUGAAUGAAAAUAGACCUGAGGAGUCUGCCUUGAAUCUGACUUAAACUUGCUAAGAAUGGAAAAUUGAUUCGAGUUAGAUGGGGAGAAGUUCCAAGACCAUAAUGAGGCAUUAAGGGUAUAUAGGCAACACUACGAAAUCCAUUUAAUCCCAGGUCUCUGAAGCCAAUUUAUGUGAUCCUACAUGUCCUUGGAAUACCAGCCUCAAGGGAAAUCAUAUGACAUAAUGCAAAGCACAGGUUUUGGGGAUCACUGACCUAGCUGGACUACACUGCUUUCUAACUGUGGGAUUUCUGGCAGGUUACGUAACCUCUCUGUCCCCAUUUUCCUCAACUAUUGCAUGAAUAAAAUCCUACUUGACUCAAAGAGUCUGCUGUGAAUAUUAAAUGAGGUAUUGUAGAGCACUUAGUAUUGUACAGAGCGAAUAAAAAAAUAAUAAUAACAAUAACGGAAUCAGUGGGAAUAUCCAUUUGUUGAGUACUUAAAUGGGGAGAGAGGAGCCAUGCUGGGCAGUGAUACCCACUAGGGCUUUCCAGACUAAAGCUGGGGCCCAGAGCCCUGUUUAAACAGAUUUAGCCCCUGGAAGAGAUGGUAGAGAGCAUAAGCUGUCUUCUUUCUUCAAAAAUCAGAAAUAGUUUAAUAUAGGAGCACCUCUUUAUUCAGUGUAGAAUUUCUACAGGGACC